UACUCCUACGGGAGGCAGCAGUGGGGAAUAUUGCACAAUGGGCGCAAGCCUGAUGCAGCAACGCCGCGUGAGGGAUGACGGCCUUCGGGUUGUAAACCUCUUUUGUCAGGGAAGAAGCCUUCGGGUGACGGUACCUGGAGAAAAAGCACCGGCUAACUACGUGCCAGCAGCCGCGGUAAUUAAU
rnacentral:rRNA from 1 species